CGCUGCGGACCCGGGCGGGAGACUGGAGCUGAGUGGGACGUCCAGAUCCUGCAACUCCAGGCUCUAGCCGGGCAGCUUGGGGCUUUCUGAAGUCCCCAUACCCGACCGGUAGAGUCGGGACAGGUGUCGGUUCAGGGGCCCAGGAGGUCCGGCAUCUGGCCCUGAGUGGAAGCACCUCCGGGAACCCCUCCCCAGCCAUGGACAGCCCCAGUCUUCCAGAACUUCAGCAGCCUCUGCUGGCAGGUGUUGGCUCCACCUGCCCUGUCCAGAAGCCUGGAGAGCCUGAGCCAGAUCCCCUCUUUGGGGAGACAGCUUUUGCAGAGUCCCUAAGGGGCUGGCAGUUUCUGCCAUCACCUCUUCCCUCUGUGAGCACUGGUCUGGGGCAGCCAGGGCACCCUGACCUUGAGGAUGCAUCAAGUGACAGCGACUCGGACUGGGACAGGGACAGCCUUCUCUCCCCGCUCCUACCCCAUGACCACCUGGGCUUGGCUGUUUUCUCUGUGCUGUGCUGUUUCUGGCCUGUGGGCAUUGCCGCCUUCUGCCUGGCCCAAAAGCACUUACCAUCGUCUGACAAACACCAAUUCUGGGCCCUCAGCACCUAGCAGGGACUGCACAAGUAGGUGCUCAACAGACAUUUAUUAGACGAAAUGAAUUCAUUCAAUAAAUGUGCAAUCCUAGUAAUGUUUCCCUGGUGGGUGUGGGGCACCCAUGUCCCCUCACCCCGAACCCCAGGGGCUGCAGCCAGGGGCACUCCUCAGGUGGCCCUGCAGCUACAGGCCCACAAGCUCUCCUGGGCACACGAGGACAGAGAGGCAAGGCUGGGUGGCAGCAGGUUUCUUUUGCACUGGAGGUAGUGGUGGGUGGUGGCAGUGGGAGGGGCGCCCUGCCCCAACUUGCCUCAGCUCUUGGAGUACCGCCUCUGCAGCGAUUCCCGGUAGAAGCGGAAGACAUGUUGCGAGGCAGCCUGGGCUGCAGCCAGGCACUGUUGGAGCUGCGUGGGAGAGACUGGUCAGUGCAAGCCCAUCCCUGCACUGCUGCGGGGCCAGUGGGCUCACCUGGUUUCUAGGGCCCCCAAACCUACCACCUCCCUCUUCACCUGGGCAAGCCCCCCACCCCCCAGGUGAGACAGGUGGGGAGGGGAUUAUUCCAAAUGCAUCUCCUCCUUCCCCACUUCAGGGCUUCUUAGAGGGGACGAGGAGAAGGAAAAAAGAAAAGGUGAGGGAAGCAGGGACCAGCUUCCGUCAACUCCAGGGCCUCAAACCAACGGGAUUGGGCAUCCUGACAGCUGGAAUAGACCUGAGCUCUGGAAACUUAUGAGCUCACGAAACUGGAGAUUUACUGGCAUUUUAGAGCCACGGGCCUUGUGACCCUGGAUGACGUUAGGAGCCACAGAAUCUGAAACCCCAAAUCUUAACUGCCACAUGUCACUAGAGUCUUGGGAGGUCCAGACUGGAAAUGCUCUUGGAGACCAUUUGCAGUUUCUGAACUCUUCGGACCUGGAGUGGGGAGUCCCCCCUUUCUGAGAAACAUUGACGUGAAAGAGGAAUACUGACGGACUGGCUGUCUUCUCGCACGCGCCCCGACUGGGGAUCAAACCCGCAACCUGGGUACGUAGCCCCAACCCAGAAUCAAACCUCUGACCUUCUGGUCCACAGGACAACGCUCUCAACUGAGCCCCACUGGCCAGGGCAGGCUUCCCUUUAAAAUUCCCACAAAGGUUUCUUGGCUACAAAGUCUACAAACUCCUGUUCACAGAGGACUCAAGGAGGGGGGGCUCUCCUCAAACCUCUGAGGUCAGGGCAGAGCUGGGACAUGUCAGGGGUAGGGAAGAUCUGGGGUUCCCCCACAUCCACAUGCUGCUACCUCAGCAUCAGAGAAGAGUCCCUUGGUGGUGGACAUGAGUAGCUUCUGCUCCACGCUGUCGAGUGCAAAGGUCAGGACUGCCCGGGCCUCCUAGGGAUGAGGGAUAGAAGGUGGGGGACGCGGGCUCUCCCUUCAGGUACAAUGUCGGCUGAUCCCGAAGAAAGGACUUGCCUUUCCCAAAGCCAAGUACCCCUGCAUCCAGUGUGGCUGUGUACCUAGGGACCACCCCUCCCAGUUUCCUAGGCCGUUCCCCUAGAUCCUACACCGAUUCCAACCACAGGCUUCUGAUGGGCUUCCAGGCGGUUUUCCUGCCCUGCAGGGGGAGCCACAGUACACCUCAUUUACCUGGCGCCUCCUAGCUUUUGUGCUCUGUACUCCUGAGGCACGAAGUGGCAAAAUACAUUUUCUGGGUGCCCCUUAAAGGUAGUACAGUCCUCCACCUGUACUCUGGUGGGGCACUGACAGGAGGGAGACCAGCACCCAGGGCAAAGCCAGGUCUACGCAGCCACAAGUGACUGCAGCAAUGCCUCCAAUAGCACAGGCAGGAGCUACAGGUUCCUGAUGACUCUUCCCUUUUCUUCCUUCAGCUCUUCCAACACUGUUGUAACCAGUUCCCUGCAUUAAACCCUCCACUGGAAAUCCCCCAGUGGCCUCUGCUUUCCUGACUGGAUGUGAGUGGGCUAGUAACUCAGAGUAACCACAGCCCCAGGAUACUGUGAACUUGAGCCGAUGAGGAAUGCUCUUUCUUCCUGUGCCUCUUUGCCUCUUGAGAUAUAAGCAGAGCUUAAGCAGCCAAUCGCAGCCUCAGGAGAGAUACUGGCCAGAGAUAAUGGAGCUAGAAGUGCAGAAAAGCGCAGGUACUAAGAAAUGCAAAGGAAACCCUGAAGGCGUCCGAGGCCCUGGCUUGAUCUCUGUUCUUUCUGAGUUUGGUUCUGAAUGUCAAUAAAUUCCCUACUUGCUCA